GACGAACGCUGGCGGCGUGCCUAAUACAUGCAAGUUGAGCGCUGAAGGUUGGUACUUGUACCAACUGGAUGAGCAGCGAACGGGUGAGUAACGCGUGGGGAAUCUGCCUUUGAGCGGGGGACAACAUUUGGAAACGAAUGCUAAUACCGCAUAAAAACUUUAAACACAAGUUUUAAGUUUGAAAGAUGCAAUUGCAUCACUCAAAGAUGAUCCCGCGGUGUAUUAGCUAGUUGGUGAGGUAAAGGCUCACCAAGGCGAUGAUACAUAGCCGACCUGAGAGGGGGAUCGGCCACAUUGGGACUGAGACACGGCCCAAACGCCUACGGGAGGCAGCAGUAGGGAAUCUUCGGCAAUGGACGAAAGUCUGACCGAACAACGCCGCGUGAGUGAAGAAGGUUUUCGGAUCGUAAAACUCUGUUGGUAGAGAAGAACGUUGGUGAGAGUGGAAAGCUCAUCAAGUGACGGUAACUACACAGAAAGCGACGGCUAACUACGUG
rnacentral:rRNA from 1 species